CACCUGUAAUCCCAGCUUCUUGGGAGGCUGAGGCAGGAGAAUCACUUGAACUUAAGAGGUGGAAAUUGAAGUGAACCCAGAUUGUGCCACUACUCUCCAGCCUGGGCAAUGCAUUGAGACUCCAUCUCAAAACAACAACAAAA